CCAUCCACCAUCCUUCCCACCACCUCUCCCACCGUCCUCCCACCUGCACCUCCGGCCAUCCCAGCCCUCUCGCAGCCCCGGUCCCUCUUCCUGAGCUGGAGCCCCAGUCCUUCUCCUUCUUCUUGCAGGGGCAGGUGGCCUGGCUCCUGGCGUGGGUGGCCUGGCUCCUGGCAUAGGUGGCCUGGCUCCUGGUGUGGGUGGCUUGGUUCCUGGUGUGGGUGGCCUGGCCCCCGGCAUUGGAGGUGUCCCAGGAGUCGGAGGUCCGGCAGCAGCAGCAAAAGCAGCAGCCAAGGCAGCCAAGUACGGUGCCGGUGUCGGAGGGGUGCCAGGCGCGGUGCCCGGUGGUCCCGGUGUGCCAGGAGUGACACCCGGCGUUGGCGGCGUCCCUGGGUUGGUGCCGAGCGUGGGGGUACCCGGUGCCGGCGUUCUCCCCGGGGCAGGCAUCCCCCAAGUAGGGGUGCAGCCAGGUGCUAAGCCUCCCAAGUUCGGAGUUCCCGGAGCUGGAGUCCCAGGGGUUGGUGGCAUCCCAGGUGGCCUCGGAGUUGGUGGCCUCGGAGCUGGUGGCCUUGGUGCUGGUGGCCUUGGUGCUGGGCUCUUGUUUCCAGGAGCUGCUGGAAAACCUCCCAAGCCAGGGCCUGGAGUUCCCGGCUUUGGCGUGUCACCGAUAUUUCCAGGUGGGGUCGGCGGCCAGCUGGGAUUUGGCGGUGAGUGCGCCCCAGCCAGGCGGGUUGGGGACAGUGGGCGGGGGGUCACCUCCCCAGGGGGCACCCGUGGAGCCCCCCACCCCGCUCACCCUCUCCGUCUUGUCCCCGCAGGGAAGCCCCCCAAGACCUUCGGAGGAGCCCUCGGGGCCCUGGGCUUUAGAGGUGAGCGCCGCCGGGUCCCCCGCCACCCCUGCCCGGCUUCCAAGCCCCCUGCCGGGGCCCGGGGGGGCUGACCCGGUGUCCCCCCCCCCAACCCAGGUGGAGUCGGCUGCGCACAAGGGAAAUACUGCGGGAGGAAGCGGAAGUAACCGCCCGCCCCACCGAUAACCUCAUGAACUUUGGUGCUACUGCAUGGUCCAGAAUGUAAAUCCCCAGCCCAGCUGAGACCCCCCUGGCCCCCCGGCCCCACGCUCCCGGGAGGGACCCCACGGUGCGGCAGCAGCGCCGGGGCCUGCCCCCACCCCGGGAAUUCUCCCCCCCGACCCCCCCAGGGAGCGCGGAAUAAACUGCGGGGAGCAGCUGUCCCCCUUGGUGCU
rnacentral:lncRNA from 1 species